AUUGAACGCUGGCGGCAGGCUUAACACAUGCAAGUCGAGCGAGCGGCGGACGUGUGAGUAAUGUCUGGGACACUGCCUGGUGGAGGGGGAUCACUACUGGAAACGGUCUAUAAUAGCACAUACCAUCAGAUGUGCCCAGAUGGGAUUCGCUAGUAGGUGGGGUAAUGGCUCACCUAGGCGACGAUCCCUAGCUGGUCUGAGAGGAUGACCAGCCACACUGGAACUGAGACACGGUCCAGACUCCUACGGGAGGCAGCAGGGGGGAAUAUUGCACAAUGGGCGCAAGCCUGAUGCAGCCAUGCCGCGUGUGUGAAGAAGGCCUUCGGGUUGUAAAGCACUUUCAGCGAGGAGGCGUUACUCGCAGAAGAAGCACCGGCUAACUCCGUGCCAGCAGCCGCGGUAAUAC
rnacentral:rRNA from 1 species